UGCGUAAUUAUCGUCGGCAAGAAUGUUUUAUAGUAAAACUCUUCGAAGAAUCUUCAAUAAGUGGCCGGGAAAGAAGACAUUCGAUGAUGUGUACAGGCGAAAAGAAUCAGAACGCCGCUAUGCAAAACGAUUGGAGGAAGAAUAUAAGGAGUAA